CUGAAACAGCCGAGAGAGAGAGAGAGAGAGAGAGAGAGAGAGUUAUUGAUUUGUGCUGAGAACCCAAGUGAAGAACCCAAGAAAAAGAAGAAACAAGGGAGGAAAAGCAAAGAAAAGUGAAGAAUUAAAGGGGAGUUCAAAAAUUUAUCAAAGGUUCAUCAACUAGAAGAUUUUAGGUGAUCAGGCGCGUGACUAGGCCUAGAGCUUCUACUUGGACUCUGUCUUGUCAACCAAUAUAUGUGCCUCUCGUGGAGGUUCCAGAUAUGUCAAAUGGUCAUAGCUAUGUGAUUAAAGCUCAAGUUUUUGUUUAUUCUGUAAUUAGAGCUAAGUCUUUUUUUGUCUUAUUUGUCUUAUUCUGUAAUUAGGGGUAAUGUAUGAUAUAUGUAUAUAAAGUUUAAAAUUUUUCUA